CAGCCGCCGCGGGAAUACGUAGGGCGCAAGCGUUAUCCGGAAUUAUUGGGCGUAAAGAGCUCGUAGGCGGUUUGUCGCGUCUGCCGUGAAAGUCCGGGGCUCAACCCCGGAUCUGCGGUGGGUACGGGCAGACUAGAGUGAUGUAGGGGAGACUGGAAUUCCUGGUGUAGCGGUGAAAUGCGCAGAUAUCAGGAGGAACACCGAUGGCGAAGGCAGGUCUCUGGGCAUUAACUGACGCUGAGGAGCGAAAGCAUGGGGAGCGAACAGGAUUAGAUACCCGGGUAGUCCCUGUCUCUUAUAC
rnacentral:rRNA from 1 species